rnacentral:tRNA from 1 species
GUGGGUAUAGCUCAGUAGUGGAGUACGUGCCUAGCAUGCCUGAGGUCCUGGGUUCAAUUCCCAGCACCUCCA